rnacentral:rRNA from 1 species
AUGCUGGUGAAGUGAUAUUACCUUUCGAGGAAGUCACGGCUAACUACGUGCCAGCAGCCGCGGUAAUACGUAGGUGGCGAGCGUUAUCCGGAAUGAUUGGGCGUAAAGGGUGCGUAGGCGGCCUGUUAAGUCUGAAGUGAAAGGUACCGGCUCAACCGGUACAGGCUCUGGAAACUGGCAGGCUGGAGGACAGGAGAGGGCGGUGGAACUCCAUGUGUAGCGGUAAAAUGCGUAGAUAUAUGGAAGAACACCAGUGGCGAAGGCGGCCGCCUGGCCUGUUACUGACGCUGAGGCACGAAAGCGUGGGGAGCAAAUAGGAUUAGAUACCCUAGUAGUCCACGCCGUAAACGAUGAGGACCAAGUGUUGGGGAAGACCCAGUGCUGCAGUUAACGCAGUGAGUCCUCCGCCUGGGGAGUAUGCACGCAAGUGUG